rnacentral:rRNA from 1 species
UGGGGAAUCUUGCGCAAUGGACGAAAGUCUGACGCAGCGACGCCGCGUGGGGGAUGACGGGUUUCGGCUUGUAAACCCCUGUUGCCCGGGACGAACUUCUCCUUUCGAGGAGAUUGACGGUACCGGGUGAGGAAGCACCGGCUAACUCUGUGCCAGCAGCCGCGGUAAUACAGAGGGUGCGAGCGUUGUCCGGAAUCACUGGGCGUAAAGGGCGCGUAGGUGGCGGCCCAAGUCCAUGGUGAAAGCUCGAUGCUCAACAUCGAGUCGGCCACGGAUACUGGGUUGCUCGAGCACUGUAGGGGCAGAUGGAAUUCCGGGUGUAGCGGUGGAAUGCGUAGAGAUCCGGAAGAACACCGGUGGCGAAGGCGGUCUGCUGGGCAGUUGCUGACACUGAGGCGCGACAGCGUGGGGAGCAAACA